GAGCAGCCCAGAGUCUGAAUCAGUGUGUGUGUUAGUGGAAGCGUCUGGAAAGGCGCGCGAUACAGGGUGACAGCCCCGUACACAAAAAUGCACAUGCUGUGAGCUCGAUGAGUAGGGCGGGACACGUGGUAUCCUGUCUGAAUAUGGGGGGACCAUCCUCCAAGGCUAAAUACUCCUGACUGACCGAUAGUGAACCAGUACCGUGAGGGAAAGGCGAAAAGAACCCCGGCGAGGGGAGUGAAAAAGAACCUGAAACCGUGUACGUACAAGCAGUGGGAGCACGCUUAGGCGUGUGACUGCGUACCUUUUGUAUAAUGGGUCAGCGACUUAUAUUCUGUAGCAAGGUUAACCGAAUAGGGGAGCCGAAGGGAAACCGAGUCUUAACUGGGCGUUAAGUUGCAGGGUAUAGACCCGAAACCCGGUGAUCUAGCCAUGGGCAGGUUGAAGGUUGGGUAACACUAACUGGAGGACCGAACCGACUAAUGUUGAAAAAUUAGCGGAUGACUUGUGGCUGGGGGUGAAAGGCCAAUCAAACCGGGAGAUAGCUGGUUCUCCCCGAAAGCUAUUUAGGUAGCGCCUCGUGAAUUCAUCUCCGGGGGUAGAGCACUGUUUCGGCAAGGGGGUCAUCCCGACUUACCAACCCGAUGCAAACUGCGAAUACCGGAGAAUGUUAUCACGGGAGACACACGGCGGGUGCUAACGUCCGUCGUGAAGAGGGAAACAACCCAGACCGCCAGCUAAGGUCCCAAAGUCAUGGUUAAGUGGGAAACGAUGUGGGAAGGCCCAGACAGCCAGGAUGUUGGCUUAGAAGCAGCCAUCAUUUAAAGAAAGCGUAAUAGCUCACUGGUCGAGUCGGCCUGCGCGGAAGAUGUAACGGGGCUAAACCAUGCACCGAAGCUGCGGCAGCGACGCUUAUGCGUUGUUGGGUAGGGGAGCGUUCUGUAAGCCUGUGAAGGUGUGCUGUGAGGCAUGCUGGAGGUAUCAGAAGUGCGAAUGCUGACAUAAGUAACGAUAAAGCGGGUGAAAAGCCCGCUCGCCGGAAGACCAAGGGUUCCUGUCCAACGUUAAUCGGGGCAGGGUGAGUCGACCCCUAAGGCGAGGCCGAAAGGCGUAGUCGAUGGGAAACAGGUUAAUAUUCCUGUACUUGGUGUUACUGCGAAGGGGGGACGGAGAAGGCUAUGUUGGCCGGGCGACGGUUGUCCCGGUUUAAGCGUGUAGGCUGGUUUUCCAGGCAAAUCCGGAAAAUCAAGGCUGAGGCGUGAUGACGAGGCACUACGGUGCUGAAGCAACAAAUGCCCUGCUUCCAGGAAAAGCCUCUAAGCAUCAGGUAACAUCAAAUCGUACCCCAAACCGACACAGGUGGUCAGGUAGAGAAUACCAAGGCGCUUGAGAGAACUCGGGUGAAGGAACUAGGCAAAAUGGUGCCGUAACUUCGGGAGAAGGCACGCUGAUAUGUAGGUGAAGUCCCUUGCGGAUGGAGCUGAAAUCAGUCGAAGAUACCAGCUGGCUGCAACUGUUUAUUAAAAACACAGCACUGUGCAAACACGAAAGUGGACGUAUACGGUGUGACGCCUGCCCGGUGCCGGAAGGUUAAUUGAUGGGGUCAGCGCAAGCGAAGCUCUUGAUCGAAGCCCCGGUAAACGGCGGCCGUAACUAUAACGGUCCUAAGGUAGCGAAAUUCCUUGUCGGGUAAGUUCCGACCUGCACGAAUGGCGUAAUGAUGGCCAGGCUGUCUCCACCCGAGACUCAGUGAAAUUGAACUCGCUGUGAAGAUGCAGUGUACCCGCGGCAAGACGGAAAGACCCCGUGAACCUUUACUAUAGCUUGACACUGAACAUUGAGCCUUGAUGUGUAGGAUAGGUGGGAGGCUUGGAAGUGUGGACGCCAGUCUGCAUGGAGCCGACCUUGAAAUACCACCCUUUAAUGUUUGAUGUUCUAACGUUGACCCGUAAUCCGGGUUGCGGACAGUGUCUGGUGGGUAGUUUGACUGGGGCGGUCUCCUCCUAAAGAGUAACGGAGGAGCACGAAGGUUGGCUAAUCCUGGUCGGACAUCAGGAGGUUAGUGCAAUGGCAUAAGCCAGCUUGACUGCGAGCGUGACGGCGCGAGCAGGUGCGAAAGCAGGUCAUAGUGAUCCGGUGGUUCUGAAUGGAAGGGCCAUCGCUCAACGGAUAAAAGGUACUCCGGGGAUAACAGGCUGAUACCGCCCAAGAGUUCAUAUCGACGGCGGUGUUUGGCACCUCGAUGUCGGCUCAUCACAUCCUGGGGCUGAAGUAGGUCCCAAGGGUAUGGCUGUUCGCCAUUUAAAGUGGUACGCGAGCUGGGUUUAGAACGUCGUGAGACAGUUCGGUCCCUAUCUGCCGUGGGCGCUGGAGAACUGAGGGGGGCUGCUCCUAGUACGAGAGGACCGGAGUGGACGCAUCACUGGUGUUCGGGUUGUCAUGCCAAUGGCACUGCCCGGUAGCUAAAUGCGGAAGAGAUAAGUGCUGAAAGCAUCUAAGCACGAAACUUGCCCCGAGAUGAGUUCUCCCUGACUCCUUGA
rnacentral:rRNA from 1 species